CCGCUAUGAUGAAAAUGAUUCCAAAAACCAUUCGUAGUUUCCACCAGAGGUCAGAAGACCCAUGUUGGCACAAAGUACCUUCCUUGGAUGUCUGAGCGA
ensembl:snoRNA SNORD14 Small nucleolar RNA SNORD14